rnacentral:rRNA from 1 species
AUUGAACGCUGGCGGCAGGCCUAACACAUGCAAGUCGAACGAGUGGCGGACGGGUGAGUUAUGUCGGGGAAACUGCCUGAUGGUGGGGGAUCACUACUGGAAACGGUAGCUAAUACCGCAUACCAUCGGAUGUGCCCAUAUGGUAUUAGCUAGUAGGGGGGGUAAUGGCUCACCUAGGCGACGUUCCCUAGCUGGUCUGAGAGGAUGACCAGCCACACUGGAACUGAGACACGGUCCAGACUCCUACGGGAGGCAGCCGUGGGGAAUAUUGCACAAUGGGCGAAAGCCUGAUCCAGCCAUGCCGCGUGUGUGAAGAAGGUCUUCGGAUUGUAAAGCACUUUAAGUUGGGAGGCGUUACCAACAGAAUAAGCACCGGCUAACUUCGUGCCAACAGCCGCGGUAAUUC